rnacentral:tRNA from 1 species
GGUAUAUAGCUCAGUGGUAGAAUGCUUGCCUAACAUGCAUGAUGCCCUGGGUUCAAUUCUCAGUACCA